UAUGUGAUCGUCUCUCGCAUAUCAAUAAGCGGAGGAAAAGAAACUAACAAGGAUUCCCCUAGUAACGGCGAGUGAAGCGGGAAGAGCUCAAAUUUGAAAUCUUAAAGGGUUUCCCUUUACGAAUUGUAGUUUAAAGAAGUGUUUUCUGUUGAGGUUUUGGUAAAAGUUCUUUGGAAUAGGACAUCAUAGAGGGUGAGAAUCCCGUAUUUGACCUUUACUUUCAACUUUGCUGAUACACUUUCAAAGAGUCGGAUUGUUUGGGAAUGCAGUCCAAAAUGGGUGGUAAAUUUCAUCUAAAGCUAAAUAUUGGCGAGAGACCGAUAGCGAACAAGUACCGUGAGGGAAAGAUGAAAAGAACUUUGAAAAGAGAGUUAAACAGUACGUGAAAUUGUCAAAAGGGAAGCGUUUGACACCAGUGUUGUUUUUCUGAAAAUCAAUUAAAGAACUGUUUAUGCUAAGUUGUUUAGACUUUAUCAGCUAACUGUUUAGUUUUGAGCUUUUCUUUAAUGCACUUUUCAGUUAACAAGUCAACAUCAAUUUCUUUUGCUGUAAAAAAGCUUGAGGAAGGUGGCUUGAGAUUCGUCUUAAGUGUUUAUAGCCUCUUGCCUAUGCAGUCGGAGAGAUUGAGGUCUGCAGCGUAGAUCCUUCGGGGCUAAAUGCAUUUGUGCUAAGUUAUAGCAUUUUAUAGACAACUUGUUGACUAUGAUUUGUCUUGUAGCUUACUCGCUUAUGUUAUUUUACCUACGCUUAGGAUGUUGAGUAGCGACAUACGCAC
rnacentral:rRNA from 1 species